AUUUGGUGAUGUGACUCGGAUAGGGGGACCUCCCUUGGGAGAUCAGUACCCUGUCCUCCUGCUCUUUGCUCCGUGAGAAAGAUCCACCUACAACCUCAGGUCCUUAGACCAACCAGCCCAAGAAACAUCUCACCAAUUUCAAAUCCAGACCCCACUGGAAAUCGGACUGUCCAACUCACCUGACAGCCACUCCCACAGCCGCUGGAACUCUGGCCCAAGGCUCUCUGACUCCUUCCCAGAUCUUCUUGGCUUAGCGGCUGAAGACUGACGCUGCCCGAUCGCCUCGGAAGCCCCCUAGACCAUCACGGACGCCGAGCUUCGGGUAACUCUCACAGUGGAAGUGUGAAUCUUCACAACGGAAUCUUCACAACAUCUCUGCAAGAAGAAAACAGAUUCGGUUUACCUGAGACUCAACUUCAAUCCCUUGGACAGAAGAGUGCUAUGCUAGGUGCCAGAAACACAACUACAGAUUUCUACCUGGUGCAUGGCCAUCGCUCAUGAAGACUACAACUUCCAGCUUCCUUUGAAGAAAAAGAGGACUUGAUGGCAUUGUCGCUAAGUAAGAAAU
rnacentral:lncRNA from 1 species